CUGAAGGUGUCCGCUUCAUUUGAGACUUCUACUCGCUGCACACGAUGACAAGAGAACCGAGUGUAAGCGAGCACUAAGACGAAUACAGUCUGGUGCACUAAUGGAUGCAACACAUAUGUUUGGAGUCUGUUUUAACCAAAUCUUGAUAUCCCGCGUUGCUUUGGAUUUCUGAGAUGCAAGCUCUGGCUGUGCAUGUCGCUGUGAGAGAGAGAGAGAAUCAGCAGGAACCUCAGCAGGAAGCCCCGUCUCUGUUCUGUGAUGCACUCAACAGAUACACUUGCUCCCACUUUCCCUGUUUCUUCCCUCUUCACUGGAGGGAUCAGUGUGUACAGAGGUAUCCCUACAUCCUUCCAUGUUCUCCAAACAGCAUGCACGGAGACGAAAGUAUACAUAGGGAUAAAGUUAAGGUUUUUAAAAGGUACUUGUAACUGUACUUUUAUUACAUUUCAGUGAAAAUGAACUUAUCACACAGCUCUAGAUACUGUUAAUGAUACAAGUAUUUCAUAUCGAAUAUCAUAAUUCCAAUAGGCCUCUGCAGGUUAUUCCCAGAUCUCGACUGGUAACAGGGAACAUCCUGGGUGUCUUUUAUAUCACUUCUUGGUUUUGUUUUAAAUCAGAAAUCUUCUACAAAUGUUUGAGAUAUAUUUUAUUUUUUGUGUACUUUUUUUAUUCUACUUCUACUAUAAACUGUUCAUAUUUUGUGUUACUUUAAGUUCUAUACAUUUUUUUGCGUUUGUUAAGCACUUUGUAACUUUGUUAAGAAAUGUGCCACGAGUUUAUUAUCAUUAUUAUAUAAAAACCAAAUGGGGCAUAGGAAAUUAAAAUUGCUAAUGCUUUAA